rnacentral:rRNA from 1 species
GGAUGCGAUGAUACCAGCACUAAAGCACCGGAUCCCAUCAAAACUCCGAAGUUAAGCGUGCUUGGGCGAGAGUAGUACUAGGAUGGGUGACCUCCUGGGAAGUCCUCGUGUUGCAUUCC